GAUGAACGCUGGCGGCGUGCCUAAUACAUGCAAGUCGAGCGAACAGACGAGGAGCUUGCUCCUCUGACGUUAGCGGCGGACGGGUGAGUAACACGUGGAUAACCUACCUAUAAGACUGGGAUAACUUCGGGAAACCGGAGCUAAUACCGGAUAAUAUAUUGAACCGCAUGGUUCAAUAGUGAAAGACGGUUUUGCUGUCACUUAUAGAUGGAUCCGCGCCGCAUUAGCUAGUUGGUAAGGUAACGGCUUACCAAGGCAACGAUGCGUAGCCGACCUGAGAGGGUGAUAGGCCACACUGGAACUGAGACAAGGUCCAGACUACUACGGGAGGCAGCAGUAGGGAAUCUUCCGCAAUGGGCGAAAGCCUGAAGGAGCAACGCCGCGUGAGUGAUGAAGGUCUUCGGAUCGUAAAACUCUGUUAUUAGGGAAGAACAAAUGUGUAAGUAACUAUGCACGUCUUGACGGUACCUAAUCAGAAAGCCACGGCUAACUACGUG
rnacentral:rRNA from 1 species